rnacentral:rRNA from 1 species
UACAGAGGUCUCAAGCGUUGUUCGGAUUCACUGGGCGUAAAGGGUGCGUAGGUGGCCGGGUAAGUUUGAUGUGAAAUCUCCGAGCUCAACUCGGAAAUUGCAUUGAAUACUAUUCGGCUUGAGGAUCGGAGGGGAAACUGGAAUUCUCGGUGUAGCAGUGAAAUGCGUAGAUAUCGAGAGGAACACCAGUGGCGAAGGCGAGUUUCUGGACGAUUCCUGACACUGAGGCACGAAAGCUAGGGGAGCAAACAGG